rnacentral:rRNA from 1 species
UGGUGGGGUAACGGCCCACCAAGCCUAAGAUCCGUACGGGCCAUGGGAGUGGGAGCCCGGAGAUGGACCCUGAGACAAGGGUCCAGGCCCUACGGGGCGCAGCAGGCGCGAAACCUCCGCAAUGCGGGAAACCGCGACGGGGUCAGCCGGAGUGCCGAUGCUUGCAUCGGCUGUCGGGGAGCCUAAAAAGCUCCCCAUAGCAAGGGCCGGGCAAGGCCGGUGGCAGCCGCCGCGGUAAUACCGGCGGCCCGAGUGGCGGCCACUAUUAUUGGGCUUAAAGCGUCCGUAGCCGGGUUGGUUAGUCUCCCGGGAAAUCUGGCCGCUUAACGGUCAGAAUUCCGGGAGAUACUGCCAGCCUAGGGACCGGGAGAGGCCGAGGGUAUUCCCGGAGUAGGGGUGAAAUCCUGUAAUCCCGGGAGGACCACCUGUGGCGAAGGCGCCCGGCUGGAACGGGUCCGACGGUGAGGGACGAAGGCCAGGGGAGCGAACCGGAUUAGAU